rnacentral:misc_RNA from 1 species
CAUUUUCGUUUUUUUCGCUACCGGUAUAUUUGGGGACGCGCGGCACCAUGACACGGGCGUCGGGCUCGGAACGAGCUUUCCGAAGAGUACUCACGGGCCCCGAGAGUCCAUCGGGAUCGAAAGAUAUGCACGUGAAGGCGGAGACGCGCGGAUUCCGUUCACUGAGUAAUUAAAUUUUUCGAAUUUCGUCGUAUGCAAGUGGUCUCCCUUUAAUUGCUCGGAAAUUGCGCGACGGGCCCUCGAAAGCGGGAAGUUGAGCGGUCGAGGCUUUUCGCGAGAAGAGAAAGAAAUUCGCUUCAAGUAAAUUUGCAAUGCGUAACAUGAC